AUUAACUGACGCCGCUAAUAGAGUACAUUGUAAAGACAGGCGUGAUAAGAAAGCAAGUGACUACCCAACAACCAAAGGGGGUGUUACUGUGCAGGAUCUUCAUCUAGCAGAGAUUGAAAUUCUAAAGCACGAUCAGAAGAAAGCCUCUGAAGAUGAAAUUCAGAUCCUGAAAUCUAUCCAGAAGAACCAGAGUCUGCUUGAAAGAAAGAAAAGGCGUCAAAUCAAGAAAGAUAGUCAUCUAGAGCUUGACUACGAUUCAUUCAUUCAAGCACUUCGUCGUUUCACAGCUCUUCAAGCCAAGAGUGCAGCAUCUCAUAAAGUUCUGGGGUUCUGGAAUCGCUGGAAGAAGGAAUUUCUUCAGAACCUGCAAGUCCGACAGAAGUGGACUCACCCACAACGUGAAGCUGAAGUCGGCGACAUUGUCAUUGUGAAGGACGUGAAUGCACCCAGAAACCAGUGGCCACUAGCACGUGUUAUCAGAGUCUUUCCAUCUGAAGAUGGACACAUUCGCAAAGUGAAACUCGUUGUGGGGGACUCCAGAGUAUGUAAUAGCGGUAAGCGUAAGAACCCUCUUCAAGAAUUGGAGCGUCCUAUCCACAAACUGGUGCUUCUGUUACCGCGUGAAGACCAAGAGGAAUUCCCGGCCAAGGAACCCGACAUUUGAUAAUUUCGCGGGGAAUCCAUUUAGUUAGGGUUAAACUUGUUAUUUAAGCAAGACCUUAAGAUUUCUAGUCAAGACUGGAAUUAUUGAAACAACAGGUCUGUGGAUAAGACUAAUUAAUUUACAUUAUCCCCAGAAACGUUUAUUUGAAACGGUCUAGAACGAAGGCUGUUUGCUUCUUCAGGGUCUGCACGUGAGACUAUACAAAUUCAUUUAUUACAGACUCUGCUGCCUGAAUUGAGACUAAUUGAACUGUGAAAUUUGCAAUUGGACAAAUUUUCCAUAAAGACAUAAAACUUUCAUUGUAAACUGCAAUGCAUUUAAAUGUAUGCAUGUGUUGUUAUGUAUUUGUCUAAUAACCAUUUAUUUCUUCACAGGUCAGUUCUAGUAAUCUCUGAAUCGAUUUAUCAUGCUAAUCCACUGAAAUGUCCAUGUUUAUGUGAUUAAGUGGCUAUCACAUUCCAAAAAGGGGAAUUUAUUUUUUUUAAUUUUUUUUUUUGGCUAAAAAUUGCUAAAUUCCAGAUAUUUGUUGGUAGUAUAGUGGUUAUAUUGCAUUUAUAGCAUUUUUCACCAUGAAGUGAUAUUUAUUUAAAUGUGAACAUUUCUACUUUGAAAACAUAAGCCAUGUUUUUUGUGUUUUCUCAUAGCUACUAAGAUUACCGGUAAAUGUGAAACUAGUAAAAUAACAUUUCUAGAUAAAGCAUGAAAACAGUGUUUAUCAGUAAUUGCAUUUGGACUCAUAUUGAGACGAAAAUCUGUUUAAAGAAUUUAGAGGUAUUUUGUUAAAUCCAGUAAGGUAAAUAGCACAGUAUAGGUUUGGUUCAAGCCAGAUACAUUUGUUAUAUAGCUGUUGAAGAAACCUUGUGUAUGGACUUAUUUAAUACAAGUCGAGUCAGUAAUGCUGAUAGAACGGGUAUUUCCCACGUAAAUGUGUUUUAAAGCUGAUACUAUUUGGGGAAUUUUUAUUUGAUGGUUUGAGAUAGUGCAUCAUGUGCCCUAUGUGAGUUUUGAAAUUUAAUCUCAAGACAGAGAUAUAAACAAAUAAUUUCAUAAAGAGUGCUGAACUACAUUCAGUAAAUAGGUUAAAAGGGAUAGGUAAUUCCUUGAUAAUGUCAAUCGAUUGUUUAGUAAAUUUUUAGAAUAAUUUAAAGGAGCCAUGUUUCAGUGAUCGAUGUGAAUUCAUUUUAUUAAGUCGAUCAAGUAGAUUGAUUAUAUUUAUGUUUAGCGCCAUCUGGAGGCUACUAAAUUCGUGUAAAGAAAUGACACCCUUUUUGGUUUCCAGUGGAUGAAAUCUAUUGAUAUUGGAGGCAUCCUUGUGUAAGAUGGAAGUUAGAUGCACUUAAGAAGGCAGAAUGAAGUUUUUACGGAGCAUUUGGAGCAACAAGAGAAUUGGAAUAAUAAAGAAAGACCAAUAAACAAAGUCAAA
rnacentral:lncRNA from 1 species